rnacentral:lncRNA from 1 species
CAGGAUCAAAAUGUUUUCAUUUCUUUUGUUCAUUCUUCUGUUCCAGACCUCACAUUCCAGUCAGCAAACUAGUGGUUUCAGAAUCCUAUGACACUUAUAUCAAUAGAAGUUUCCAAGUAACAAAAGAAAUUAUAAGUGAAUGUAAAAGUAAAGGUAGGUGGUAUUAUUUUGGACUCCAUAUUUAAAUAUGUCACUAUUUCUCUAUCAUGGCUAAUAGGGCUACUCAAGAUGCUUGCAGUUGCUUUGACAGACUUGCUUAAUAGGAAAGAAAUAUAUUUCUAGCUCUCUUCUAAAUUCUUUGACAUUGAAUUUGUAAUAUUCUCUGAGUAUCUAAAAUGGUAGGAAUCCCAGGGGAACACACUAGACUUAAUUACUUAUAUUUAAUAACUUAGAUUCUGCAUAGUAGCUGGCCAUCUUGCACCCUACCAAGAGGACUCCCCAUUGCAAUUUCCAGAAGGUCUCUAGAAUAACACUGUUUGCCUAUAAUUAACCAGAGAGCAUGGACAUUCACAUAUAAAACCAUCUACACAAGCUGAACAUUGGUACCACACACCUGUAAUCCCAGCAGCUUGGGGGGCUAAGGCAGUAGGAUCAGGAGUUCAAAGCCAGCCUUAGCAAAUUAGCAAGACCCUAAGCAACAUCUACCCAAACACAUGUAUUAGCUAUGCUGCCACCAAGAGAAGGGUAUGUAAGGCUCAAGUCUGUUUGCUGUUACAUUUUCCAAAGAUUGGGUUCAAAUAUUUAAUGAUAUUUCUGACUGACUGUUGGCUAUAGAUUUCAAGCUAAUUUAUUUAUAUUCAUAGAGCAAAAACUAUAAUUAUGUGCACAAAAAUGUUGACAGUAGAUAGCCCUGAGCAACAGUAGAUGGUUGUCCAUCUACUGUUCCAGUUAUCACUCAUAAGCUGCUCACUACCAUGAAGGUAAACAGCAUGUGCUAAUAGCUAGGAGGUCUCCAGUGCUCACAAUUCUCUAGUGGCAACAUUUCACUCUGUGUUAGAAGGACUGGCCCAGGGGCCCUGUGGAUGCAGAGGACUUCUGCUUCUUGAUUCUCAUGGUGCUUACACACAGUUAUGCACGUGGGAGAGUGACACAGAACUAUAUACUCAUACACAGUGACUGCCUGGUGAGCCAAAUAGCCAAGCAGAUUGUAACUGUGUCCAUCUCCUGGUUUUGAUAGUGUAGUAUGCCUGGGUUUGAUCCCCAGCACACACACACACACACACAAAAAAAAAAAAAAAAAACAACCCUCAAGAGUUGAUAGUGUAGCAUGGUUAUGAACAAUGUAACCACAAGGGAAGGCUUCAUGAGACCUCCAUUGUGUGUAUAUAUGUAUGUAUGUGUAACCUCCUGUAGAUGAAUCUAUAAUUCUAUAAAAAAAAAUUUGUUUCCCUUUUUCUUUUAUUUAUUUUGGUACUGGAAAUCAAACCCAGGGUUAUGUGCAUGCUAGGCAAGUAUUCUGCAACUGAGCUGUAUUCCAAGCCCCUUUUUAAAUUUUUUAAAUAAACAUAUAAUAAAUAUGUUUUAUUGGUUACAAUAUGAUAUUUCAAUACAUGUAUACAAUGUAUAAUAAUUUAAUCAGGGUGAUUAACUUUUCCCCUCUCCUUAAAUAUUUACCAUUUCUUUGUGUUGUUUAUAAUUAUUUUAAGACAAAAAGUUGUUUUUUUGUUUUUGUUUUAUUUAAAAUCAUGAAGAAUUUUCAAAGUGUUGCUUGGCUGGGCAAAUUGCCUUUUUUUUUUUUUUUUUGAGAUAGGGUCUUGCUAAGUUGCUGAGGGUCUGUCUAAGUUGCCCAGGCUGGCUUCCAGCUUGCAGUUCUCCUGCCUCAGCCUCCCUGGGAUUACAGGCUUGCUCCACUCUGCCUGGUUUUGUCUUCUUUUUGAGAAUGUUGAUCCCUCCCCAGAACAUGAAUCUUCCAGAAUUUACAAAGUUUACAUAUGUCUUUAUAGAAAUGGCCUUCCCAUUCUUUGCCUUUGUCCCCAGGAAAUAACAUUCUGAUUGUGGCCCAUGCAUCUUCCCUUGAAGCAUGUACCUGUCAGCUGCAGGGCCUGUCACCUCAGAAUUCCAAGGACUUCGUACAAAUGGUCAGAAAGGUAAUUCAGUCUUGAACUUAUGGGACUCAUGGUGCCUAGUAGUUUAAUAAGACUUCAGCGACUGGCUUUUGGCUCAUUAUUUGAAGCAUGUAUUUAUGCUGAGCUAGGAAGAUUCACUUAUUGAUUUACUCAGCCAAGAUGCAUUGAGUGGGACUCUGUAAAGCACUUUAUUAGAUCUUGUGUAAGAGAAAAAGAUGUGUUAACGACAAUUCCAGCUUCUCAGAGCUAACAUUUAGGAAGCAGCUAAGAAUUACAAGCAAUGAGGGACCUUGGAGUGGAUAAGGAGAGUUAGUCUAACACAGCUGAAAGCUUAGCUAGGUGAGCGGUUCUCGCAAGCCUGCAGGCCAAGGAAAGCAACAAGUGAUGGUGGUCAGGCCACAGGCAAACCCAGUAACAAGACAAAACCCCAGGAGGUUGACCUGUGCAUCUGAAUUCUUCCUUUUCAUGCCUAUAGAAAGGGUUUUUGGUCAGUCACCUACCAUGUAAGGCAGCUACUUCCUUUCUGUGCCACCGGAAAGGAAACUCAAUUGCAACUCUCUUCUCAUUUUUAAACAGGUUAUUUAUGUGUCCUCCCCACUAGUCUGUAAGAUGCUGGAGGGCAGGGAUUAUUAUAAAUGUAGCUCUGGACACAUAUGCAAAAAUAUAUUUUAAAAUUGCCAUAACAACUGAUAAUAGCAAGGGCAGAACUUCUGCUUUGAAUGUCAAAGAUAUGUGUGCCCCCCCCCAAAAAAAAGAUAAAGCAAGGGUGAAACAAAUGAUUAAAAAUUAAAUGAUCUUUGCCAUUGAGUUCAAGUACAAUUUCAAAAAUGUUCAAAGAAAAAAGAAAUGUUCAAGGUGCCUUUUUAACUUGACGUGCAAUUUGGGAUUGAUGUGGAAUUAGGGAUUAACUUCUGGAACUCAGCUUCGUGGUAGCCUCCUUAUCCAAGAUUUCACUUUCUGAAGUUGUAGUUACCUGUGACCAAACACAAUCCAAAGAUACAAUCCUGCACAGUAAGAUAUUUUGAGAAAGAAAAAGACUACACUCAUAUCUUUUAUUACAGUAUAUUGUUAGUUAUUCUAUUUUAUCUAUUAUUGUUGUUAAUCCCUUACUGUGCCUAAUUUAUAAAUCAAAUCUUAUUAUAGGUAUGUACAUAUAGUGGGGCAAAAAACAGCAUAUAGAGAAUUGGGUAUUAUCCAAGGUUCCAGACAUCCACUAGGGGUUUUGGAAUGUAUCCAAAGUGAAUAAAGUGGGGUGAGAGGGAAUAUUGUAUAUGUUUUGUUCUCUUGUCUCCCACCCUAUCAAGCAGCAAUCUAUAAACUAAACAACUUAUAGCAGGGGAUUCAUGGUUUGAUAGAUCCUUCUGAUGAAUCCUGCUGCACUGUAAAUACUCUUCCCUCUCAUUUAUCAGCUCUAUCCAUGUCGUUUAUUGACUUUUGAAGAGGAUACAUUUCUACAAAGCCCCUGUUCUAGAGCCACUUUGUGUCAUAUCUUUGUGUCUAGGUGAAAGUUUAAGCAUUGACCCUCUGUCUUCCAUUUUUCCUUUUGUACUACUUUAACUUCAGAUCCCAUACCUAGGCUUUUGCUCCUGUGAAGAACUAGGAGAAACUGGAAUAUGGCAGCUAACAGAUCCCCCCAUCCUUCCCCUGACUCAUGGACCAACAGGGGGCUUCAACUGGAGAGAGACCUUGCUGCAAGAGUAAGCCACAAAGGGAUUGAAGAAAAGGCCUUUUGGAGAAGUCUUUGGGGUGUUUAGUAAACAGUGGAAAACUCCAUACCACAUUCUAAAUGGACAGCUCAGAAUAAUCUAGCAUAUUUUCUUUCGUGCUUCAAGUUCUUAUGAUGAGACUGUAAAUGAAAGAAAGACAUGAUUCAGGGAGAAAAUAAAUCCAUUCUCUCUGGACUCUUGCCCAGCUAACAAGGCUUUGGAGAACUGUCUUCCAAAACAGGGACACCCACUGCAGCAGAUGCUGUUGUCCCCCUUCCGCCUAUGCAUGGCUAAGGAACCUCACUCCUCCCCGAAGGAGCUGCCAGCCUGCUCUGUGGAAGGAGUAUGCCCAGAAUGCAGUUUGGGGGCGGGGGUUUCUUCUGAACUCCAUUUUUAAGAUAGGCAAAGCUGAGGAAUCCUUUUAAGGUUAUUAGAAAACAUGCCCCCAAAGGAUGGUCCUUAGGUCACACAUCAAAUUCCACCCUCAGCAGACUCCAUACACCAGUGUUGCUGGCUCAAGACACCUGCUGGAGGACGCUAACAUUUACCCUGGUACUGCCACAUUUUCUCCAGAGCAGCUGGCCCUUCUUGCUUCUAUCUGUGAAAUGGGGAAACAAAGCAUUUUUGCUCUCAAUGUGCUUUUACUUCAUGUGGAAGAUACGUGUGACAUGUUCAAUGGUAGGUGCAGAAAGCUUGCAAACUAUAAAGAGAAUUGGAAUUUCCAUAUCAUAGUCUAAUGAGCCACAGCAAUUCUAAAUCACCAAAAUUUGCUAGUCUUUGUCCCCUAGACUAUGCUACUAUGCUAACUAGUUAAGGAUGUUGACAUUUUGAAAGAAUAUGUUCAAUAAAUUAUUUGAAUAAGCAAGAAGCUCAUUCUGUGCAAUAUGAAUAUCUUUAUAAACCACACCAAGGGCCAGGUUGUUGGAUACUUAUAGUACCUUGUAACCAUAAUAGAACAUCCACAAAUGCACCACUUAUACCAGGGAUGUAUAAUGAAGUCAGGGAACUAAUCUCAAUGCUGACAGUCACAAUGCACUGCUACUUGUGCUGUCCCUUUUUUGUUUGUUUUUCUAUGGUAAUUUAAAAUACAGAGGAGGUAGGGCCACUUGAAGUAAAUUAGAGAACCACAUCCUGUGGUUUCUUGUUAUACCUACUUCCCAUAUUUAAAGGGAGUUUAUUUAAAAGAAAAAAAUGAAUGACAAUCAAACCAAAACAUCAAUGAUCAAUGUCUAUUUAAUUGUGUGAAUAGCUGACUAUUAGGGCCACAGACAAUGGUCUGGUGUGGAAUAGUUCAUUGUGUAGAAUUUGUGUACAAAGUGAAAUCCCAGCCAUUUGAAGGGAACAAUAGUGUAAAGCAAAUCUAUAUAUGUUGUAGAAUAAGUUUUAAAACCCAGACUCAUAAAAUACAUGGCAAAUAAAAACAGACCUAUGCUGGUAAUUAAAAUUGAAAUUUGAUGACCCCUGGAAAGAAGAGGAAGUGAAAGGUUGCUGGCUAUAUGUGUUAAUCAGGGAAAGGGUUCUGGUUGCAUUUUUAAAAGACACUUAGAGAAAUAUGUCACGAAUUCUACAUUUGAAGAAACAGAUUAUGAUUUCUUUUAGCAUUGCACAAAUACCUAUCAACUUUUGGACAUAAAAAUAACCCUUUGCUGACAUAUUAGUAUGUUUAAACCUUAAAAUAACUGAGAGGGAAAUAUUCCAUUACAGUUCUUAAAAAAGAAAAGUCACACUAUAGCUAAUGUAGUGUCCCUGGUAUUUGUAAUGAAGUGAAUCCACCAUUUAAUCAGGUCUAUAAUAUUUAUUGGAUUCACCACAGGUUUUCCUGGGCUUGAGUGCUCAGAAUAUGCUUGAACACUUCACAUCAGAUUUCCUUGACACUUUGAAGUGUGUCCUAGACAGUGUCUUUACUUGUGUAAAAUAGAGUUCAGAAUAGGUUAUCCUCUCCAUCUCCCUCAGUUGUCUUAGUCCUAUGAUGUCCUGAUAAAUCAGUUUGACUGGGCUGCAUUCCAAUGUCCUUAGUCUAAUACGGACACAGCCUUAGGCAACUGCCUACCUGAGCCAAAGGAAGCAGAGAUCUAAAACAAUUUUCUGAAUAAUUUAGGUAGAGAACCCUGAGUACAAGAAAGAGUUUAUUCCCCUGCUUUAACUAUCCAAAUUGCUUAUCAAAAUGGCUGAAUAAUCUGAAUUCACAUUAAAAUCUCUUUUGCACAAUUACCUAUUAAAAAAUUUAACUAUGGACUCCAACUAAGGAAUUCUUUAGAAAUAAUAUUGAAUCUAUGUGUAAUAAAAGAAACAACAGUAUUACCAGAUUUCAUCUUCUUACAAAAAUUAUAAGUUGACAUUACAACCUGAAGUUGUGGCUGGUUCUUUGUGAUUUGAGAUUGAUGCUUAUUAGAAUAAAUGACCUGUAAGGGAAGGAUAAAAAAGAAAAAAAAGGGAGGAAAUGCCAGAAAAGAAUAAUCAAAUGGUUUCUUAUACAAAAGAAAAAAAUUUUAAUGUAGAAAGUUAUCUGAAAUAAACUAGGGGAAACGAAAUUAACUAAAGGAUUUAAUCUGGGAUUACAAAUCUGAAACCGUUUUCUGCUUCUACAAAUGUGUCACAUCAAUCUGCUAAUGCCCCAGUAUUAUUCAUAGAUAGGACUUUGUUUUCCAUGGUUUUAAAAUGCCACAUCUAUUCUGCCAUGGACUAGAAUAAUUGGCACAUUCUAAUGCAUAAACCGAGGGCUCCGUUUUCCCAGGCUCUCUCCGCCAUCACUGCUUUCCUAGUGAGGAGCUUCUUGCCUCGCCCAGUAUGGCGUUGAGAUUACAGUGUUGCCCAUCACAUUUAGAUUCCUGGAAUCUAAAUGGCCAAUUAAAUAGCCAGCUGAUGGCUGAAAGGCUUGGAGGAGUUUCUACUUUUUAUUUUAAUUAUACUUUUAACCAAAGAAUUGUUUUAAAGUUAUCUUAUAUUUGAAAGAUGAUUUUGCAAAAAAAAUAAAUAAAUAAAAAUAAAAAAUAUACCUUCUGGAGUGAUAUCAGUUUGGUAAGUCAUCAUUGAUCAUUUUCUUGUCCGUAGUGUUCCAGACACAUAUAGAUUGUCUUCCCGUUGUGCAUAGCAUUACCAUAAAUGUAUCUUUUCCACUUAACUAGCUGUAUUCGUAUUAAAAUGAAGUUUCUUAUUUCAAUUACCUAGUGUCACUGGGAACUAAUUGAACAGCUACAGGAAGAGAAGUUCCUAUCUCUGUUGCUUUUGUAGAAAGGGUUCCCUGUGUGGUCAAAGGAAAGCGUUCCUCCGUAACCUAGGCACUUGGCAAUGCCAGUGUUUAAUUUAAAAGUAGUGAUGAAUUGCUCUUUUGAAUUUACUCUGAGUAAUGCAUGUGUUGGAAUACAGAUGAACCUCCGUUUAAUUUUCACAGAAAUCAGCACAGUCAACUGUACUGAGUCUUCAUGAAGUUAGAUAAUGAGGCUGGAGUGAUUUGCAUUUAAAUUGUAAUCCAGCACAUGUGUGAGAAAGAAGAGGCGCUUGGCUGACAAGGCUGCUUUAGAGGGAGGGGAGACAGGCGUAGGAGGGCAGGAAAAAGAGCAAUUGAACAUCUAUUUAGGUUAAUGUUCAUGUUACAAAGGUGAUGGGGGAUAUUUUGGUAGGUGACGGCAGAUGCUUUCCAUUUUUAAAUGUAGGAUUAAAAUUGAAUUUGCUUCUCUUUAAUACUUCCACAUAUUGAACUUUCCUUGGAAAGUGACUAGUUAUACUGAAAAUUCAAGGAAAGGGGGAAAAAGAUUUCCUCUAAAUGCAAAGAGAAUAACUUGAUUUUAAAUACAUGUAAUAUUAGGUUUGAUGUAUGUAGGCUUAAAAUUAUAGUGAUGAGUAGUCAAACUUAAUAUGCAAUCAUUCCUUACAAAUAUUUUAUUCGGUACCACUUAGCUGCCAUUACUCACACAAAAAUCAGAAUUUUGCAGCUGUUCAACUAUUCAUGGACUUUGUACAGGAUACAUAUGUGUAAUGAAAAAUGUGUACUGGUUCUUUCUUUUAUUGCCACUCAAGAUGGGAAUAAGAUCCCAAAGCCUUUUGGUUAAUGCAUAGACCAUCCUAAACCUGCUAUUUUGGGGGAGGCAAUUGAGUUCUUUCUCAUUUAUUAAAAACUAUUGUAUCAUUUUUUUUUUCUAUGUGAUUCAAGUGUAUUUAUUUUUUAAAAAAAGUUUGUAAUUAUAAAAAAUAAAACCUCAUUUAACUGUAUUGCCAAAUUUCUUGUUCACUACCCAAGCACACAUGCUUUCCUGGCUGAGAGCUGUCCCCUCCUGAUACAGCUAUGGCACUGUUGUAAUUAGUUCUUUCCAUUCCAGGAGCAUCUCCAUUGAAAUGGUUCAUAGAUGAUUUAAUAAAGAGAAACUGUGUCCUCAGUCAAUCCAGAGCAAUCUCAUAUUAAAUUCUGAAUGGAGUCUAUUCCUAUCCUAUUCUCAGAUGUUAUUGUGG